UUCAGGGUUAGCCAAACACGGCCUCCCUCUUACGCACGUCUUCACCUCCAAGAUGUUGCUGAUAUAUGAUCGUCCUCCUCAAAGGCUCACUUCCUUAUUUACAACCCAGCUUUUUUUUUUCCUGCUAAGCAUAAAUGUCAGGCUGCCGGAGACAGAGAGUCGGGGAGGUCCGAGCGGGACAAAAGCCUGUUGUCCAGACUCCGUCUCCAGUGCAGGCGCCUCACCUCAUUGUUGACCUUGUGGACGCCGGAGAUAAAUCCUGGAUGGACUUGACCACUCCCUGUUCUCCUUGGACAGCUUGGGUCCUUCCUACCAGGCAAGGAAGGAACACGUGGCUGAAGAGGACAGCAAAGUGAGGCCGUGGUGGCGUGCAGACAACACUCCACAACCAGGGGAUCAUGACUGGACCACGUUGCAACAGGAGAAGCUGAGCGGCCAACUCACCAUUCGGAUGGAAAAAGUCAAGAAUGGGAGAUGACUGCAGCCCAAAAGUAUGACAAAGUGCAAAGAAUGAAGCCACAGACACUUUACAUAAUGCAUGUCCUUUUCCAAAAGAUUAUUACUUCAGGUGCUGCAGCCCUCACGUUACUGGAUAUAUGCAACCAUGGAGAUGACCAUAAAAGAUGUCUAUGGAUUUAUUGGAACAACUCCGCAUGUUUGUGUCCAAUCAGAGCAUGGCGUGUGCGUGUGUGUGUGUGUGUGUGUGUGUGUGUGUGUGUGUGUGUGUGUGUGUGUGUGUGUUUGGGCGAGCAUGCCUGAGGUCUUGUCCUGGGCAUGAAUAAGGACUUCCUUCCUGGCAGACAGAGUGCAACACCUGAUCACUCUCACAACACAAGAAGGCCCUCUGUGUUCUUCAGCAAACUGUUCAACAGGCCGGAGGUCCAUCCGUGCGCACAAAAAUGGCUUUUUCCCACCCAGCCUCCACCUUUCCCAGGCGUGCUCGCAUGUAAGCAGAUAUGGCGGGUGGCGAGCGCCGCGGAGAAAGAAAUACACGCGCCACUUCAGAAAUUACAACUUCUCACUCCAACGGCAAUAAAGUUUGGCUUCUCGCGAAGACGGCCAGCCAAGAUACACCAGGGCAAAAUGUGCAUUUUUACGACGUGCAUAACCUCUUAUUUUUCCCCUUUAAGUGUCUCUUUUUUCCCCGAGUAAUUGAGUUAGACUGGCGAGUCAUAACUGACUUGGGAACAUGUCCUCCGCCAAUGAAACCACUUGACAAGGUGGUGAGCCAGAGAGGGUGGAGUUCUACUAAUGGUGGGGCACUUGCAAGGACGACCCUUUCAUUGGCCAACAGGGACUUUCUAGACCAGGGGUGGAUGGUGGAGGGUGUGUCAGUCCAUCACCAUCACGUGGAUGGUGGAGGGUGUGUCAGUCCAUCACCAUUAGGUGGAUGGUGGAUGGUGUGUCAGUCCAUCACCAUUAGGUGGAGGGUGGAGGGUGUGUCAGUCCAUCACCAUUAGGUGGAUGGUGGAGGGUGUGUCAGUCCAUCACCAUUAGGUGGCUGGUGGAGGGUGUGUCAGUCCAUCACCAUUAGGUGGAUGGUGGAGGGUGUGUCAGUCCAUCACCAUCACGUGGAUGGUGGAGGGUGUGUCAGUCCAUCACCAUUAGGUGGAUGGUGGAUGGUGUGUCAGUCCAUCACCAUUAGGUGGAGGGUGGAGGGUGUGUCAGUCCAUCACCAUUAGGUGGAUGGUGGAGGGUGUGUCAGUCCAUCACCAUUAGGUGGAUGGUGGAGGGUGUGUCAGUCCAUCACCAUUAGGUGGCUGGUGGAGGGUGUGUCAGUCCAUCACCAUUAGGUGGAUGGUGGAGGGUGUGUCAGUCCAUCACCAUUUGUCUAUACCAGGAGUGUCCAUCACGUGGAUGGUGGAGGGUGUGUCAGUACAUCACCAUUAGGUGGAGGGUGGAGGGUGUGUCAGUCCAUCACCAUUAGGUGGAUGGUGGAGGGUGUGUCAGUCCAUCACCAUUAGGUGGAGGGUGGAGGGUGUGUCAGUCCAUCACCAUUAGGUGGAUGGUGGAGGGUGUGUCAGUCCAUCACCAUUAGGUGGAUGGUGGAGGGUGUGUCAGUCCAUCACCAUUAGGUGGAUGGUGGAGGGUGUGUCAGUCCAUCACCAUUAGGUGGAUGGUGGAGGGUGUGUCAGUCCAUCACCAUUAGGUGGAGGGUGGAGGGUGUGUCAGUCCAUCACCAUUAGGUGGAUGGUGGAGGGUGUGUCAGUCCAUCACCAUUUGUCUAUACCAGGAGUGUCCAUCACGUGGAUGGUGGAGGGUGUGUCAGUCCAUCGCCAGCCAGGCAGUAAAAAAAUAGAUGGAUGGAUCAUCAAUCUUCACUCUGACAUUAAUUUCAUCACUUGAUUGACAUUCACGCCACCCGAGGGUCUUGUGAGAUGACGCUGGCUGCUGCCACAUCAUUAUUAAGAAAAAACGACCGACAGGAAGGCCAGAAUCACUUUUCAUUGCAAAAGAAUUAAAAAAAAAACUUAAACUGCACAGUUCCUGUCUUCACAAUAAAAGCACUUCU